rnacentral:lncRNA from 1 species
CACUGGGGAAAAUAAAUCCCCAUAUACUUGGUUGGAGAUAUUUGUGUUGAUGACCCUUUCUUAGCUGGGGGUUUCUUGAUUUCUGUUUGAUGGUAGAAAUAUUCAUCAGAAGCUUGGCUGGGGAUGGAUGAGAGGAUCAGCCUGUCUGGUGAUGCUGACCUCUUCUGGGAAGUAGCUGGUUUUGCCGGGGAAUAAUGCCAAUUUCU